rnacentral:rRNA from 1 species
UACGGAGGGUCCAAGCGUUAUCCGGAUUUAUUGGGUUUAAAGGGUGCGUAGGCGGCCUAUUGAGUCAGGGGUGAAAGACGGUAGCUUAACUAUCGCAGUGCCUUUGAUACUGAUGGGCUUGAAUGUACUUGAGGUAGGCGGAAUGUGACAAGUAGCGGUGAAAUGCAUAGAUAUGUCACAGAACACCAAUUGCGAAGGCAGCUUACUAGACUGAAACUGACGCUGAGGCACGAAAGCGUGGGGAUCAAACAGG